rnacentral:rRNA from 1 species
GAGCAUGUGGUUUAAUUUGAUGCAACGCGAAAAACCUUACCACUCCUUGUCAUGGAAUUUAUACCUAUUUGAAGGGAUAGGGUCUGUUCGUCGGGGUUUCACACAGGUGUUGCAUGGCGGUCUUCAGCUCUUGUCUGUGAGAUGUUGGGUUAAGUCUCGCAACGAGCGCAACCCUCAUCUUUAGUUACCAUCAGGUAAUGCUGGGGACUUUAAGGAAACUGCCAGUGAUAAACUGGAGGAAGGUGGGGAUGAUGUCAAGUCAUCAUGGCCCUUAUGGAGUGGGCUACACACGUGCUACAAUGGUGGGUACAAUGGGUUGCAAAGUCGCGAGGGUAAGCUAAUCCCUUAAAAGCCAUCUCAGUUCGGAUUGUACUCUGCAACUCGAGUGCAUGAAGUUGGAAUCGCUAGUAAUCGUGGAUCAGCACGCCACGGUGAAUACGUUCUCGGGUCUUGUACACACUGCCCGUCACGCCAUGGGAAUUGGUUUCACUCGAAGUUAAUGACGUAAC